rnacentral:lncRNA from 1 species
ACGGAUUCGAUUCGAAGCUGGUUCGAAAUAAUUCAAAAGGCUGUCAAUCUCAAACUCUUUAGGACUUUUGUACCAAGUAUAACUUGAAUUUUAGACUCAAUUAAGUCCAAUUAAGUCAGAUCUAAUUUGAAAUUAAUUAAUACUUAACUUCAAUCUUUCAUAUGCUCCAUGAAUCAUAGAUCAAAAACUGUUCAACCCC